rnacentral:rRNA from 1 species
AUGAACGCUAGCUACAGGCUUAACACAUGCAAGUCGAGGGGCAGCAUGAACUUAGCUUGCUAAGUUUGAUGGCGACCGGCGCACGGGUGAGUAACACGUAUCCAACCUGCCGAUGACUCGGGGAUAGCCUUUCGAAAGAAAGAUUAAUACCCGAUGGCAUAGUUCUUCCGCAUGGUAGAACUAUUAAAGAAUUUCGGUCAUCGAUGGGGAUGCGUUCCAUUAGGUUGUUGGCGGGGUAACGGCCCACCAAGCCUUCGAUGGAUAGGGGUUCUGAGAGGAAGGUCCCCCACAUUGGAACUGAGACACGGUCCAAACUCCUACGGGAGGCAGCAGUGAGGAAUAUUGGUCAAUGGACGAGAGUCUGAACCAGCCAAGUAGCGUGAAGGAUGACUGCCCUAUGGGUUGUAAACUUCUUUUAUACGGGAAUAAAGUGAGGCACGUGUGCCUUUUUGUAUGUACCGUAUGAAUAAGGAUCGGCUAACUCCGUGCCAGCAGCCGCGGUAAUACGGAGGAUCCGAGCGUUAUCCGGAUUUAUUGGGUUUAAAGGGAGCGUAGGCGGACGCUUAAGUCAGUUGUGAAAGUUUGCGGCUCAACCGUAAAAUUGCAGUUGAUACUGGGUGUCUUGAGUACAGUAGAGGCAGGCGGAAUUCGUGGUGUAGCGGUGAAAUGCUUAGAUAUCACGAAGAACUCCGAUUGCGAAGGCAGCCUGCUGGACUGUAACUGACGCUGAUGCUCGAAAGUGUGGGUAUCAAACAGGAUUAGAUACCCUGGUAGUCCACACAGUAAACGAUGAAUACUCGCUGUUUGCGAUAUACAGUAAGCGGCCAAGCGAAAGCGUUAAGUAUUCCACCUGGGGAGUACGCCGGCAACGGUGAAACUCAAAGGAAUUGACGGGGGCCCGCACAAGCAGUGGAGUAUGUGGUUUAAUUCGACGCAACGCGAAGAACCUUACCAAGACUUGACAUAUACAUGAAAGCCUAAGAGAUUAGGCCCCUCUUCGGAGCGUGUAUAUAGGUGAUGCAUGGUUGUCAUCAGCUCGUGUCGUGAGAUGUUGGGUUAAGUCCCGCAACGAGCGCAACCCUUAUCUUUAGUUACUAACAGGUCAUGCUGAGGACUCUAGAGAGACUGCCGUCGUAAGAUGUGAGGAAGGUGGGGAUGACGUCAAAUCAGCACGGCCCUUACGUCCGGGGCUACACACGUGUUACAAUGGGGGGUACAGAAGGCAGCUACACGGCGACGUGAUGCUAAUCCCUAAAGCCUCUCUCAGUUCGGAUUGGAGUCUGCAACCCGACUCCAUGAAGCUGGAUUCGCUAGUAAUCGCGCAUCAGCCACGGCGCGGUGAAUACGUUCCCGGGCCUUGUACACACCGCCCGUCACACCAUGAGAGUCGGGAACACCCGAAGUCGGUAGUCUAACCAGCAAUGGAGGGCGCCGCCGAAGGUGGGCUUGAUAAUUGGGGUG